rnacentral:lncRNA from 1 species
AGUGUCUUUUAAUUUCAUGGCUGCAAUCACCAUCUGUGAUUUUGGAGCCCGAAAAUGGUCACAGAGUUAGCAAAUAUUAGAGCCAGGAUUUACAUCCAGGCACCUUAGCCCUUAGAGUCUGUGCUUUGUGAGACUGUGCUACUUCUCACAAGAUGUAGUACCAGGUAGCUUAUGGCAAGAACCUCAUUGAUGAAAAGACCGUGUAAUUGCCUAAAGGAUGCAUACUCGGCUACAAACAACCCUAUCUAGAAUUUGUUUCCUGUUGGAAGGAUUUGGCUUGCUUGAUGUUAGAGGGAGUCCAUAUUUGAUGUUUAUCAAUGAAAUGAAAAUGAAUCUUGUUGAUGUUCAUUUGGGCUUUGGCAAACUGAUUUAUUAUUUCAUUUAAGUGGAGUUCACUUUAGAAAAUAAGCUGAAUUCAUCCUAAAGUCUUUAAAAAAUAAAAACACACUUUGACUAUUUCUUUUCGCUUUUUCAUUUAAUUAGCUUCAGACAGGAAGCAAAAUCAUCUAAGAUUAUCUGUUAGUAUCUGUCUUAAGACAGAGUCAGAUUUUGUGGGACCUGAAAAUUAUUUGGGAGUCCUUUAAGAAAGUGAAUACAAUGUUAAACAUAAAAACUUAGGCAGGGGUGUGACAGACAUCUGUUCAAAGGACGGGCUCUGUGGCUUAAGCACACCACUGGUUUCACAGUGAAUCAUUCUGGGUCUGUCACCUUUGAUUCUUUGAGCAUUCCAAUAAAAAGUGACAAACCCUUACUUUGCUCUUAAUUUUCAAUUAUUUUGAUACUACAGUUAUGUCUCCCCCUAAAAAAUUCUUCUUGAAAACAGAAUUUAGGAAACAAAUAAGGCAGGGGACAAUUAAGCAUCAUUCUUCAAAGCAAUUUUCAGAAAAGUAGAAUUAGAGAUAUAGCCAGUGCCCUGCAGUGUUUUGCCUGUAAACCACAUAAUUAAGAAUGAUAGGUAAACGAGACAGCGGAGGUAUAUAAAGUAUUAUGACUCUUUGUUAAGAUAAGGCCAAUAAAAAAUAAAUAAAAGAACCAGAAAUCACAAUUUAUGUCAAUGAGUAUAUUAUUAGAGUCACUAGAUUUCCCACUGCCUUCAAUAAAAAAAAGUCCAUUUUAUAGGAAGAAUGAAGGAACACUAGACUUGUUAACGUAGCCCAGACCUAAUAUAGCACUGGCUAGAGAAGCUCCAGUUCAGUAUAUAGCUGUAGAGUGAAUACAUUAAUGAGUGACUGAAUAUGUAUGUUUGAAGAGCAAGAAAAGGACAGAUGGUGCUAAUAGUGGUCACAAGCCUCCCCCACCAACCCUGACGCAUAACUGCACCUUUUAGUUCUAAUCCAUUAGCCAGAAAGCUGGGGGAGGCAGUAGAUAUGUCCCC